GACGAACCGUGCGAACGUUAUUCGGAAUCACUGGGCUUAAAGCGCGUGUAGGCGGAUGAGCACGUCUGUCGCUGAAAUCCCCCGGCUCAACCGGGGAACGGGCGCGGAUACGGCUCGUCUCGAGGGGCGUAGGGGGACCUGGAACUUCCGGUGGAGCGGUGAAAUGCGUUGAGAUCGGAAGGAACGCCCGUGGCGAAGGCAGCUUCCUGGGUCCAAUCUGACGCUGAGGCGCGAAAGCGUGGGGAGCGAACAGG
rnacentral:rRNA from 1 species